GGCUCAGAACGAACGCUGGCGGCAGGCUUAACACAUGCAAGUCGAACGCCCGUAGCAAUACGGGAGUGGCAGACGGGUGAGUAACGCGUGGGAACGUGCCCUUUGGUACGGAACAACUCCGGGAAACUGGAGCUAAUACCGUAUGUGCCCUUCGGGGGAAAGAUUUAUCGCCAAAGGAUCGGCCCGCGUCUGAUUAGCUAGUUGGUGAGGUAACGGCUCACCAAGGCGACGAUCAGUAGCUGGUCUGAGAGGAUGAUCAGCCACACUGGGACUGAGACACGGCCCAGACUCCUACGGGAGGCAGCAGUGGGGAAUAUUGGACAAUGGGCGAAAGCCUGAUCCAGCCAUGCCGCGUGAGUGAUGAAGGCCUUAGGGUUGUAAAGCUCUUUCGGCGGGGACGAUAAUGACGGUACCCGCAGAAGAAGCCCCGGCUAACUUCGUGCCAGCAGCCGCGGUAAUACGAAGGGGGCUAGCGUUGUUCGGAAUUACUGGGCGUAAAGCGUAUGCAGGCGGAUCGUUAAGUCGGGGGUGAAAUCCCGAGGCUCAACCUCGGAACUGCCUUCGAUACUGGCGAUCUUGAGUCCGGGAGAGGUGAGUGGAACUCCGAGUGUAGAGGUGAAAUUCGUAGAUAUUCGGAAGAACACCAGUGGCGAAGGCGGCUCACUGGCCCGGUACUGACGCUGAGAUACGAAAGCGUGGGGAGCAAACAGGAUUAGAUACCCUGGUAGUCCACGCCGUAAACGAUGGGUGCUAGCCGUCGGCAAGUUUACUUGUCGGUGGCGCAGCUAACGCAUUAAGCACCCCGCCUGGGGAGUACGAUCGCAAGAUUAAAACUC
rnacentral:rRNA from 1 species